rnacentral:tRNA from 1 species
CGUCAUAGAUCAGUCGGUUAGAGUGUGGGUCUAAUAAGCCCAAGGUCGCAAGUUCGACCCCUGCUGGCG